CACGUAGGUGGGUUUGUAAGUCAGAUGUGAAAGCCUUCUGUUCAACGGAAGAAUUGCAUCUGAAACUGCGAGUCUUGAGUGUAGGAGGGGAGAAUGGAACUUCUGGUGGAGCGGUGAAAUGCGUAGAUAUCAGAAGGAACGCCGGCGGCGAAAGCGAUUCUCUGGCCUAUUACUGACACUCAGUGUGCGAAAGCUAGGGGAGCAAACGGGAUUAGAUACCCCGGUAGUCCUAGCCGUAAACGAUGGGCACUAAGUAGAGGGAAUUACCGAUAUUCUCUCUGCCGUAGCUAACGCAUUAAGUGCCCCGCCUGGGGAGUACGGCCGCAAGGCUAAAACUCAAAAGAAUUGACGGGGGCUCGCACAAGCGGUGGAGCAUGUGGCUUAAUUCGAUGCAACGCGAAAAACCUUACCGGGGCUUGACAUGGUAGAAGUAGGAACCCGAAAGGGUAACGAACGGUAUCCAGUCCGUAGCUAUCACAGGUGUUGCAUGGCUGUCGUCAGCUCGUGUCGUGAGACGUUGGGUUAAGUCCCCUGACGAGCGAAACCCUUGUUUUUAGUUACCAGCGGGUUGUGCCGGGUACUCUAGAAAGACUGCCGUCGUCAAGACGGAGGAAGGUGGGGAUGACGUCAAGUCAUCAUGGCCCUUAUGCCCCGGGCUGCACACGUGCUACAAUGGUCGGUACAAACGGAUGCGAAGCCGAGAGGUGAAGCGAAUCCAAGC
rnacentral:rRNA from 1 species